CACCAGACUCCUACGGGAGGCAGCAGUGAGGAAUAUUGGUCAAUGGGCUUACGCCUGAACCAGCCAAGUCGCGUGAGGGAAGACUGCCCUAUGGGUUGUAAACCUCUUUUGUCAGGGAGCAAUUAGCGCUACGUGUAGCGUUAUCGAGAGUACCUGAAGAAAAAGCAUCGGCUAACUCCGUGCCAGCAGCCGCGGUAAUACGGAGGAUGCGAGCGUUAUCCGGAUUUAUUGGGUUUAAAGGGUGCGUAGGCGGAUUUUUAAGUCAGCGGUAAAAUGUCCGGGCUCAACCCGGGCCGGCCGUUGAAACUGGCUGUCUUGAGAUGUCGAGAGGUAUGCGGAAUGCGCAGUGUAGCGGUGAAAUGCUUAGAUAUUGCGCAGAACUCCGAUUGCGAAGGCAGCAUACCGGCGGCGAUCUGACGCUGAGGCACGAAAGCGUGGGUAUCGAACAGGAUUAGAUACCCGGGUA
rnacentral:rRNA from 1 species